rnacentral:rRNA from 1 species
GCCUACGACCAUAUCACCCUGAAUGCGCCCGAUCUCGUCUGAUCUCGGAAGCUAAGCAUGGUCGAGCCUGGUUAGUACCUUUAUGGGAGACUGCCUGGGAAUACCAGGUGUUGUAGGCU